AACCACCCUGGCGUCAUGGCCC
rnacentral:misc_RNA from 1 species